AGUUACAGAAAGAACCCACUGCAGGGCGUCCAGUCACUUGCCCAGUGAAAAGACUGUAAUCAGACAACUUUAAUAAAGGGAGAGCAGGAGAGUGGUGACGAAUUUCCACAUUCCGAACAAGCUUGUCGAAAGAGGAGUGCAGGGAAGGAGCAAGAAUGAGGCACUGGAAGACGGCUGUAGGCGCAUGAUGUCACAAGUUAUUGGAAGAAAUCCCUCCAACCUAGGUUGGGACAGAUGAAGGCGGCGCUUAUUGGUGUUCACCAAAACACCAGCAUGGUGUACCAGCUUUGGCUAGAUGAUGCUCAGGAAAACACAGAUCCUGGUGCCGAACAUGAGGACAGGGCAGGCCGAAGGAGAAAGUGGAAGGAGGGGAGCUUCUCUCUCAGCCUCAUCCUUCUGGGCCUGGAUGCUGGAGAGUCAUGAGGUGCUUCAGAGUACUCUGGGUGAGGAGGGAAAGAUGGUGCCCACCACAUGGAGGCCAGCCUAGGUCUUGUAUGAAACCUGUGAGCAGGAGCCAGGCCGUGGCCUGCUGACUGCAUCUGCCAGAUGACUACCAAUGUGUGAGUAAACCCAUUCUCAAGCCCAAGAGAACCUCUCAGCUGAACCAGGCCCAAGUUGCUCACCCACUGAACUGCCAGUUAAAUAAAUGGUGGUUGUUUUAAUCCACUAAAUGCUGGGAUGGUUUGUUAUACAGCAGUAGGUAUCAAUACAGUGUACUUGUCAAUCUAGGAAUUCCUGUCUUGUCAAAUCUGAGAAAAUUCUCGGUCACUGUCACUUCAAAUAUUACUUCUUUCCCAUUUUCUAUUCACUCAUUCCAAAACUCCUAGUGGAUGUCUUUUCUGUCAUUUCUGGUUCUGUCUUUUGUGAUCUUAAACUUUCAUUCAUUGUUUUUCCAUUUUUACUUCCGUGUUACAUUUUGAGUCAUUUCCUUAGUUCCAGUUUGCUUAUUUUCUAUUCAACCAUUAAAUAUUUCUAUUUAGUUUUAAGUUUCAGUGGCUAUAAGUUUCAUUUAUAAAAGAACUAUUUGGUUAUUUUCUAAAUCUGCAUUUUGUUUUCACAUGUUUUUCUGUUUUUUAAUUUGUAUUUUCCUUUGCCCUUGUAAAUCAUUUAAAAUGUACUUAUUUUAUAAUCAUCUGUGGCUUGAUCUGUUUCUUUACUUCUUGGGCAUUACUUUUUCUGUUAAUUUCAUGAUCUGACCCUCAAGGUGGUUUCCUCCUAUGGUUUGUAAUUUUUAUUAUGAGCUUAUUUUCAGCAGGGAUUUCUCCCCUCUGGUGAAGAUCUGUAUGCCUUGGGUAAUGUGAUUGUCACUUCACUAUGCCUGCAAGUUUGCUUCUGAUGGCAUCCUACCGAUAUCACCAACUCUCAACCAGCUCUAAUGUUUCUUGGUAUUUCUGCCCACAGUGAAAAUUCAGAGCUCACUUCAAUGCAUGGCAUGGGCUUGGCUUCAAGUUUUUCUGUAUGACCUUUUUUUAAAUUUAUUUUUAUUUUUUUAAACCUAUAGCCCAAGGACACGGGAGCUUUUUUUCCUGAUUUGUUUUUGCCAACACUGUAGCCCUCAGGAACUCAGAUUUUGCAAAGUGCUCAAUUCCAGUUGCCUUCCUUACUCACACCAGAGACAAUAUUUUAUUGGCCUGCAAGGGUGUUAAAAUCCCAAGGGUGUUAAAAUCCCCAGAUCUCCAGGGCCUAUCAUUGGUCCAAACCCUGCAGAGGCUACAGUGACAUUAGCCCCUACUUACUGCCCAGCCUCUGAGCUCCCUCUUUGUUUCUAGAAUCUGGGGAUUUCCCUUUCUCUCUGUCUAGAGAUUGUUGUGCUGGACCCCUAUUGACUCCAAUAGGAAUGGCACCAGGUUCAAGAGGCCAAAGAAGAGACCUGGAGCCAGCAAAUGAGACAUAAGAUUUGAUUUGGGGGAACUUAUGUACAGGGAUGGACUAGUGGCAGUGGGCUGGAUAAGAGAACCACAACUGCUUUCCAAAAGCCUGCAGUUUAUACAGCACCUUCACUCAGCACCCUCUCUCCAGCAACAUCCACAUGGCAACCCCCAUUUCCUAGGCUAAGUUAUUGCUGUCAGAUGUGUUUGCCAUACAGGCUGCUGUACAGAGUAUGCUUAAGUUAUUGCUGUCAGGUACAUCCACCGUAUAUAUACAUACACAUGUACGUAUAUAUACACAUACAUGUAUGUGUGUGUGUACAUAUUUGUACUCAUAUACAUGUGUAUAUAUAGAUAUAUAAAAAAAUUUUCUCUGUGUUUCCCUGUAACAGUAACUGAAGAGGGAAUUCUUCUAUAUAAUCUCAGUCCACUAUAUUGCUAGAAGUUCUCUUCUCUAUACUUUUGAGAUAUGAAUUUUACCUUUCAAUAUUCUAAAAUUAUAACAAAGCUAUAAAUUUUGGGAAUUGGUAUAUGUUUGUUUUUAGAAAAAUUGUUAGAAACAUAAUAGCAAUGGGAUGCUUUAACAUGCUACCUUGAACCUUUACCAAAUCAAGAGAGUAAAAAUUAAGCACAAAAGAGGGAUCUAAUACUAUAAACAAGGUAGAUUUAAUACAUAUGUAUCAAACAUAGUAACCUAGAAGCAAUGAAUAUACAUUUUCUGGUGCUCAUUUAACAUUAACGACCUUCAAGAAGGCUUUAAACAGCAACAGAUAGAGUUGAGUUGCUUUGGCCUAUUGCUAAAGGCAUCUAACCCACCUGCUUUGUGGGAGGUCAUCUGCUUUGAAUCUCAACUGUAUCCAAGUCAGAUUUAAACUCUAUGGGGCAUUGGAAUUGUCCUCUGAAUCAUCUCCAACUCUGCAGGAUACAUAAUAGCACCACUUUGUUGUUCUGGAAUUUAAAGACAGGGUCUUAUUCAACUUUGGCUAUUUUUGUGCAGUCCAUGGAUCCUUGAAACAGGACAUUCUACUUUACCAAUAUCUGACUCAUAGAAGACCUAUCUAUAUACCUACCAGGUGGCUACUACCCAGUAACUCCUACCGCCAAUACCAUGACAUUUGUUUUGAAAACCUUAGCUUAUUGCAAUAUUGCUUAUAAUUAUGAAACCUUAGAAACAACUGAAAUGCCUAUCAAAGAGAGAAUUUAUAAAUAAAAUGUAACAUAUUCACGUUCUAUUUUGAUAUGAAUUACCAUAAUAUUCUAUUAGGAUAUGAAUUGUUAUAAUGGCCAUUAGAAGGAAUGGAUUGUUCCCAUAUAUAACAUAAUAUAUCCAUGUAUAAAGUAUCUAUAUAAUACCAACACGUAACAUAAUGUAAAGAAAAGAGAUUCAUGGAAUAAAAUGUGCAUGUCAUUGAUAUAAAUUUUAAAAACACAGAAAUAAUACAUUAUAUUAAGACUAUAUAUGUAUGUAA
ensembl:lncRNA ZBED3-AS1 ZBED3 antisense RNA 1